GACGAACGCUGGCGGCGUGCUUAACACAUGCAAGUCGAACGGAAAGGCCCUGCUUUUGUGGGGUGCUCGAGUGGCGAACGGGUGAGUAACACGUGAGUAACCUGCCCUUGACUUUGGGAUAACUUCAGGAAACUGGGGCUAAUACCGGAUAGGAGCUCCUGCUGCAUGGUGGGGGUUGGAAAGUUUCGGCGGUUGGGGAUGGACUCGCGGCUUAUCAGCUUGUUGGUGGGGUAGUGGCUUACCAAGGCUUUGGCGGGUAGCCGGCCUGAGAGGGUGACCGGCCACAUUGGGACUGGGAUACGGCCCAGACCCCUACGGGAGGCAGCAGUGGGGAAUAUUGCACAAUGGGCGGAAGCCUGAUGCAGCAACGCCGCGUGCGGGAGGACGGCCUUCGGUUUGUAAACCGCUUUCGCCUGUGACGAAGCGUGAGUGACGGUAAUGGGUAAAGAAGCACCGGCUAACUACGUG
rnacentral:rRNA from 1 species